rnacentral:rRNA from 1 species
CCAAUAGCGUAUAUUAAAGUUGUUGCAGUUAAAAAGCUCGUAGUUGAAUUUCGGGACCAAUAUGUCGGUCGUGCCUCGGUACGUACUGGCAUUGUUGGUUUUUCCCUUCUGAAGAACCAUGAUGUCAUUCAUUUGGUGUCGUGGGGAAUCAGGACUGUUACUUUGAAAAAAAUAGAGUGUUUAAAGCAGGCCCACGCUUGAAUACAUUAGCAUGGAAUAAUGAAAUAGGACGUUUGAUUCUAUUUUGUUGGUUUCUAGGAUCGACGUAAUGAUUAAUAGGGAUAGUUGGGGGCAUUAGUAUUCAAUUGUCAGAGGUGAAAUUCUUGGAUUUAUUGAAGACUAACUACUGCGAAAGCAUUUGCCAAGGAUGUUUUCAUUAAUCAAGAACGAAAGUUAGGGGAUCGAAGACGAUCAGAUACCGUCGUAGUCUUAACCAUAAACUAUGCCGACUAGGGAUCGGAUGAUGUUAAUUUUUUAAUGACUCAUUCGGCGCCUUACG